GUGGCGAACGGGUGAGUAACACGUGAGCAACCUGCCCCUGACUCUGGGAUAAGCGCUGGAAACGGCGUCUAAUACUGGAUAUGUCCCAUCACCGCAUGGUGUGUGGGUGGAAAGAUUUUUCGGUUGGGGAUGGGCUCGCGGCCUAUCAGCUUGUUGGUGAGGUAAUGGCUCACCAAGGCGUCGACGGGUAGCCGGCCUGAGAGGGUGACCGGCCACACUGGGACUGAGACACGGCCCAGACUCCUACGGGAGGCAGCAGUGGGGAAUAUUGCACAAUGGGCGCAAGCCUGAUGCAGCAACGCCGCGUGAGGGACGACGGCCUUCGGGUUGUAAACCUCUUUUAGCAGGGAAGAAGCGAGAGUGACGGUACCUGCAGAAAAAGCACCGGCUAACUACGUGCCAGCAGCCGCGGUAAUACGUAGGGUGCAAGCGUUAUCCGGAAUUAUUGGGCGUAAAGAGCUCGUAGGCGGUUUGUCGCGUCUGCUGUGAAAUUCCGAGGCUCAACCUCGGGCUUGCAGUGGGUACGGGCAGACUAGAGUGCGGUAGGGGAGAUUGGAAUUCCUGGUGUAGCGGUGGAAUGCGCAGAUAUCAGGAGGAACACCGAUGGCGAAGGCAGAUCUCUGGGCCGUAACUGACGCUGAGGAGCGAAAGGGUGGGGAGCAAACAGGCUUAGAUACCCUGGUAGUCCACCCCGUAAACGUUGGGAACUAGUUGUGGGGUCCUUUCCACGGAUUCCGUGACGCAGCUAACGCAUUAAGUUCCCCGCCUGGGGAGUACGGCCGCAAGGCUAAAACUCAAAGGAAUUGACGGGGACCCGCACAAGCGGCGGAGCAUGCGGAUUAAUUCGAUGCAACGCGAAGAACCUUACCAAGGCUUGACAUACACGAGAACGGGCCAGAAAUGGUCAACUCUUUGGACACUCGUGAACAGGUGGUGCAUGGUUGUCGUCAGCUCGUGUCGUGAGAUGUUGGGUUAAGUCCCGCAACGAGCGCAACCCUCGUUCUAUGUUGCCAGCACGUAAUGGUGGGAACUCAUGGGAUACUGCCGGGGUCAACUCGGAGGAAGGUGGGGAUGACGUCAAAUCAUCAUGCCCCUUAUGUCUUGGGCUUCACGCAUGCUACAAUGGCCGGUACAAUGGGCUGCGAUACCGUAAGGUGGAGCGAAUCCCAAAAAGCCGGUCCCAGUUCGGAUUGAGGUCUGCAACUCGACCUCAUGAAGUCGGAGUCGCUAGUAAUCGCAGAUCAGCAACGCUGCGGUGAAUACGUUCCCGGGUCUUGUACACACCGCCCGUCAAGUCAUGAAAGUCGG
rnacentral:rRNA from 1 species